GAUGAACGCUAGCUACAGCUUAACACCUGCAAGUCGAGGGACCGGCGCACGGGUGAGUAACACGUAUCCAACCUGCCCUUUAUUCGGGGAUAGCCUUUCGACAGAAAGAUUAAUACCUGAUAUAAAGGAUGGGGAUGCGUUCCAUUAGGUUGUUGGUGGGGUAACGGCUCACCAAGCAUGCGAUGGAUAGGGGUUCGGGGAGGAAGGUCCCCCACAUUGGAACUGAGGCACAGUCCAAACUGGUACGGGGGGGAGCAGUGAGGAAUAUUGGGCAAUGGGCGGUAGCCUGAACCAGCCAAGUAGCGUGAAGGAUGAAGGGUUAUGGGUCGUAAACUUCUUUUAUAUAAGAAUAUGUAUUAUAUGAAUAAGGAUCGGCUAACUCCGUGCCAGCAGCCGCGGUAAUAC
rnacentral:rRNA from 1 species